rnacentral:rRNA from 1 species
GACGAACCGAGCGAACGUUGUUCGGAAUCACUGGGCUUAAAGGGCGCGUAGGCGGAUGCUCAAGUCCGUGGUGAAAUCCCACAGCUCAACUGUGGAACUGCCUCGGAUACUGGGUGUCUCGAGGGUGGUAGGGGUAUGCGGAACUAUCGGUGGAGCGGUGAAAUGCGUUGAUAUCGAUAGGAACUCCGGUGGCGAAGGCGGCAUACUGGACCACUUCUGACGCUGAGGCGCGAAAGCCAGGGGAGCGAACGGG